rnacentral:tRNA from 1 species
GGAGCUGUGCCUGAAGUAAAGGGCCACUUUGAUAGAGUGACUUAUGGGGGUUAAAGUCCCCCCAGCUCCU